CCCUAGUAACGGCGAGUGAAGCGGCAACAGCUCAAAUUUGAAAUCUGGCUCUUUCAGAGUCCGAGUUGUAAUUUGCAGAGGGCGCUUUGGCUUUGGCAGCGGUCCAAGUUCCUUGGAACAGGACGUCACAGAGGGUGAGAAUCCCGUACGUGGUCGCUAGCUAUUGCCGUGUAAAGCCCCUUCGACGAGUCGAGUUGUUUGGGAAUGCAGCUCUAAAUGGGAGGUAAAUUUCUUCUAAAGCUAAAUAUUGGCCAGAGACCGAUAGCGCACAAGUAGAGUGAUCGAAAGAUGAAAAGCACUUUGGAAAGAGAGUCAAACAGCACGUGAAAUUGUUGAAAGGGAAGCGCUUGCAGCCAGACUUGCUUGCAGUUGCUCAUCCGGGCUUUUGCCCGGUGCACUCUUCUGUAGGCAGGCCAGCAUCAGUUUGGGCGGUGGGAUAAAGGUCUCUGUCACGUACCUCUCUUCGGGGAGGCCUUAUAGGGGAGACGACAUACCACCAGCCUAGACUGAGGUCCGCGCAUCUGCUAGGAUGCUGGCGUAAUGGCUGUAAGCGGCCCGUCUUGAAACACGGACCAAGGAGUCUAACAUCUAUGCGAGUGUUUGGGUGUCAAGCCCGAGCGCGUAAUGAAAGUGAACGGAGGUGGGAACCCGCAAGGGUGCACCAUCGACCGAUCCUGAAGUUUACGGAAGGAUUUGAGUAAGAGCAUGGCUGUUGGGACCCGAAAGAUGGUGAACUAUGCUUGAAUAGGGUGAAGCCAGAGGAAACUCUGGUGGAGGCUCGCAGCGGUUCUGACGUGCAAAUCGAUCGUCAAAUUUGGGCAUAGGGGCGAAAGACUAAUCGAACUAUCUAGUAGCUGGUUCCUGCCGAAGUUUCCCUCAGGAUAGCAGUAACGUAUUCAGUUUUAUGAGGUAAAGCGAAUGAUUAGAGGCAUGGGGGUUGAAACAACCUUCACCUAUUCUCAAACUUUAAAUAUGUAAGAAGCCCUUUGUUACUUAAUUGAACGCGGGCAUUUGAAUGAAACGUUAUUAGUGGGCCAUUUUUGGUAAGCAGAACUGGCGAUGCGGGAUGAACCGAACGAGGGGUUACGGUGCCGGAGUACACGCUCAUCAGACACCACAAAAGGUGUUGGUUCAUCUAGACAGCAGGACGGUGGCCAUGGAAGUCGGAAUCCGCUAAGGAGUGUGUAACAACUCACCUGCCGAAUGAACUAGCCCUGAAAAUGGAUGGCGCUCAAGCGUGUCACCUAUACCCCUCCGCCGGGGCAAAAUUUACGCCCCGGCGAGUAGGCAGGCGUGGAGGCUCGU
rnacentral:rRNA from 1 species